UACAGAGGUCUCAAGCGUUGUUCGGAUUCACUGGGCGUAAAGGGUGCGUAGGUGGUGAGGAAAGUCGGAUGUGAAAUCUCCAAGCUCAACUUGGAAACUGCAUUGGAAACUACCUUGCUAGAGGAUUUGAGGGGGAUUGGAAUACUUGGUGUAGCAGUGAAAUGCGUAGAUAUCAAGUGGAACACCAGUGGCGAAGGCGAAUCCCUGGAAAAUACCUGACACUGAGGCACGAAAGCUAGGGGAGCAAACAGG
rnacentral:rRNA from 1 species